GUGCUUUGAUGGUACUGGAAGAAUAAGCACCGGCUAACUACGUGCCAGCAGCCGCGGUAAUACGUAGGGUGCGAGCGUUAAUCGGAAUUACUGGGCGUAAAGCGUGCGCAGGCGGUCUUGUAAGACAGUCGUGAAAGCCCCGGCUUAACCUGGGAACUGCGAUUGUGACUGCAAGGCUAGAGUGUGUCAGAGGGGGGUGGAAUUCCACGUGUAGCAGUGAAAUGCGUAGAGAUGUGGAGGAACACCGAUGGCGAAGCGGGAGCCCCCUGGGAUAACACUGACGCUCAUGCACGAAAGCGUGGGGAGCAAACAGGAUUAGAUACCCUGGUAGUCCACGCCCUAAACGAUGUCAACUGGUUGUUGGAAGGGUAACCUUUUAGUAACGAAGCUAACGCGUGAAGUUGACCGCCUGGGGAGUACGGUCGCAAGAUUAAAACUCAAAGGAAUUGACGGGGAC
rnacentral:rRNA from 1 species